AUUUGAGCCCCUGACGUCUGCGUUCCCAGACAGGGUCCACCGAGGCUUUGCUCUGCCUGCAUGUUGCAGCUCCCACACCGGCUCAACGCAGACAUUACCAGACCCCCAGAAGACAAUCUCGAAGGAGGCUUUUGUGACUGCAGCCUUGUGAAAGACUGUACAAGUUGGAGGAAAGAAGGAGAUAAAGUAUUCUGCCGAAUGGCCGUUCUUCGCGAGGCCCCAACCAGUCCACCACUUCUCAGGUUUCUCAGAAUAGAGGAUCCGUGUAUGGGAGCCGUGAGCACUAUGUCUGAAAAGGUGGGCUGAGGGCAGACUGUCAAGAGCCAGGACCGCCAGCAGCAGAGAAUGAGCUACUCUCUGUAGGUGAGGGAAGGGAUGAGGUGAUGAGAUUUUUCUGUGUGGCCAUCGGUCUGCCCUUAGCAGGCAACGCGGAUUGGAAAGCA